rnacentral:lncRNA from 1 species
CAAUAAAUAAGUAGGGUUGAAGAACAGUACUAGUACGUGUUGAUGCCACCGUACCACAAAAGUCCAUUAUGCCUAUAGGAAACAUUGUAAGCUUAAUUGUGUACAUUACACGUCAAACAAUAAUGACGAGUACAUGGCGUUAUUGUUGAAGGGUACCAUUAUAUAUUCAAUGGUAGAACUGCCAUCUUGCUUCCCCUUAUGACACUCAAUAAUUACCACCAUGAGAAGAAAGGCUAGGGUUAACAUAAAAUGGAGGAGAAAGAGCGGGUAGAAGAAGAAAAUAAUGUCAAUGUUUAUGCAUUGGAAUGGAGGGCAAAAGGAAAUAUGCUAUGGCAUUUCGAUGAUACCUUCUAGGACUAUCAUAAUAGAUGGUGAGGGCACAUUAUGAGUCCAUGAAGAAUAGCCUUGUUGCCAUGAUUACCUGUUUCUGUGUCUUGCUGUGUUAAGCCAAGUUACCUUCAUCUACAGCGUGUUGGACCUAUAUGUUUUCUAAAUAGCAGAGUAUGACAGAUCUUGCUGGUUCCAGCCUUGUUGCCAUUAUCCAUUCCAGCAACGGCAAUGCUGACACCGAGCACCAUAGACUCUGAGGACCUGAUCAGUCUUGUGUUUCAUAAACUGAUUUAUCUACCUUCAACUCUAGUUAUGGUCUUUUUCUACCAGGAGUACCCACAAGUCCACAUGGAAAUCCACACAUGCAUGUAUAUUGCAGCAGGGCAUACAUUGUUACUCACCGUAAUUGUCUUCUACUCUUCAAUCCAUAGAUAGAGUCUGGCUUACAGGAGCAGGGGUGUUUACUGAAAAACCGACAGCUAUAGUCGUCAGUUAAUGGCCUCUGAAUUGCCUACCAUUUGUGUUCCGUAGUUUGCUACAUACGCUUUUGCAAGAUCAACUGUAUUACACUUGGGAGUGGACGAAGGGAAAUGGAAUCUGAUUCCAUACAGUCUGGAAAGUUAUUUUGCUGGGGAAAAAAUACUUUCAAAGUUUGGGUAGCAUGUAUUAACUUAAGUAAUGUAGUACAAUGGUAUUGCUGUCAACUACCAAACUAUAAUAACAUUCCAGUUUGCUUCCUUUAGUUGGCCAUGAUGGAGCAACACAUAAUGGCAGAGACAUAGAAAAGUUAACGUUAGGAGGAAAAAAAUUCGUCUUCUUGCCU